CCUGAAGAAACUACAGGCAGAACACACUGCCAGUCUUACUCUCCUUUCCUGUGGGGAUGGGGAUGGGGGGGGGGUGUAACUGACCACAGUAGGGCUAUUUGCUGGGAAAAUGUUUUUUUUUUUUCCAUAUUUAUUAAUUUGGCUGCGCUGGGUCUUAUUUGUGGCAUGUGGAAUCUAUUUUCCGAGCCAAGGAUCGAACAUGGGCCCCCUGCAUUGGAAGCAUGGAGUCUCAGCCACUGGACCACCGGGGAAGUCCCUGCUGAAAUGUUUAAACUUGAAUGCAGAGAAGGCCCCUUGAGGCAAUGUCACCCCCAUCAACAGGAAGACCCAAAUGGAAGAGAAGCCACCAGCAGCCAGCCUUUCUGCUAGAAAGGCUUUGUAGCAGACACACGGGGGGAGAGACAGCCACAGCCUGAGGGUGUAGCCCUCUCCAGC
rnacentral:lncRNA from 1 species